rnacentral:rRNA from 1 species
GACGAACGCUGGCGGCGUGCUUAACACAUGCAAGUCGAACGGAAAGGCCCUGCUUUUGUGGGGUGCUCGAGUGGCGAACGGGUGAGUAACACGUGAGUAACCUGCCCUUGACUUUGGGAUAACUUCAGGAAACUGGGGCUAAUACCGGAUAGGAGCUCCUGCUGCAUGGUGGGGGUUGGAAAGUUUCGGCGGUUGGGGAUGGACUCGCGGCUUAUCAGCUUGUUGGUGGGGUAGUGGCUUACCAAGGCUUUGACGGGUAGCCGGCCUGAGAGGGUGACCGGCCACAUUGGGACUGUGAUACGGCCCAGACUCCUACGGGAGGCAGCAGUGGGGAAUAUUGCACAAUGGGCGGAAGCCUGAUGCAGCAACGCCGCGUGCGGGAUGACGGCCUUCGGGUUGUAAACCGCUUUCGCCUGUGACGAAGCGUGAGUGACGGUAAUGGGUAAAGAAGCACCGGCCAACUACGUG